GUAUUUAAAGGGCCAGAAGGUUGAGAACCACUGCUUUAAACACCAAGUGUAGACAAGGUUCAUGUCUUUCAGAUUCCACAGCAUCGGUAAAGAGGAGGGCUGAGAAUAUUACUUCAGUGGAGGAGGCAGAAGAUGACCUGAGUGGGACCCAGUUCGUGUGUGAGACUGUAAUCCGAUCCCUUACCUUGGAUGCUGCCCCAGAUCACAACCCACCUUGCAGACAGAAGUCUCUGCACACACUGCAAACUGGCAUUUCAAUUCUGCUUUGACCCGUCUCAGUAUAUUAAACAUUACAUGAAAAGGAAAAGGGAUGGAGGUGUGCAGGAGGCAGCUGAUCGAUGUUUCCCUCUCAUCGAUGUUUCUAACUCUCUAUCCCUCUCCCUUCCUCUUUGUAAAAAAUCAAUAAAAAAAUAUAUGAAGAAACAGAGCUGAGGAUGUUUCUGCCUA